GCCUCCGUAGCUUAAUUGGAAGCACCUCUUCUCCGUGAAUUUGAUAUCCGCUCAAUUAAGAGGAUGUGGGUUCGACUCCCACCGGACGCC